GAUGAACGCUGGCGGCGUGCUUAACACAUGCAAGUCGAACGGAAAGGCCGAAGCUUGCUUCGGUACUCGAGUGGCGAACGGGUGAGUAACACGUGGGUGAUCUGCCCUGUACUUCGGGAUAAGCUUGGGAAACUGGGUCUAAUACCGGAUAUGACGAUCUCUUGGAUGGGGUUGUGGAAAGCUUUUGCGGUAUGGGAUGAGCUCGCGGCCUAUCAGCUUGUUGGUGGGGUAAUGGCCUACCAAGGCGUCGACGGGUAGCCGGCCUGAGAGGGUGUACGGCCACAUUGGGACUGAGAUACAGCCCAGACUCCUACGGGAGGCAGCAGUGGGGAAUAUUGCACAAUGGGCGCAGGCCUGAUGCAGCGACGCCGCGUGGGGGAUGACGGCCUUCGGGUUGUAAACUCCUUUCGCAAUCGACGAAGCCUUUUGGUGACGGUAGGUUGAGAAGAAGCACCGGCUAACUACGUG
rnacentral:rRNA from 1 species